rnacentral:lncRNA from 1 species
AAGAUGGAUUUUUGCAUGAGACGCUUCUGGACAGAGAACCAAAUUGAAAGCUGACAGAUACUGCAAAUGACUGGGAUUUUUGUUUCUGCCUUAUCUUUUUGUGUUUUUUUCUGAAUAAAAUAUUCAGAGGAAAUGCUUUUACAGAGUUCUUGAGUUGUUGUGAACUUAUUGUUUAGCUAGUAGCUAGUUUAACCAGGAUUAAACAAGUUUAAUCAGGAUUCUUCAUGGAUGUACUUUUUAGCUAACUACAGUUUUUCACAUGGAAAUGAAACUUACAGUAAACACUUAACGUACCACAGAAUUUUUUUCUGGAUUUCUGGUCCUGAAGCAUGAAGUGUACUAGAAACCAAUUCUUCCUGCGCUACUUGUGGAAUCUUUCUUACUGGAUCAUAAUCUUACUUUACUUUAUACAAUAGAUGCUUAAUCAGUGCCUUUAAUAGGAAGUUAGAAACUCCCAAUCCAAUCAACAAGGCUUUGAUUCUACCUCCUAAGUACUACCCAGAUCACAGACAAUCCAAAUAUCAGAACUAGGGGGCUGGGCAGAGAGGACAAAUCAUCUAUUAGGGAGUGGGACAGAAAGUGGAAACAUUACAAAGGAGCAAGUAGGCUCAGAACAGAGGGGAGAGUAAUACUGGGGAAACUCCCUACUGAGGACAGGUUUGCCACAGUGGAUAUGUAUGUGAUGCUUUUGUCCUCAUGGGCUGGAAUGGAAGCUGAUAAAGAAGUUCAGACGCUACGUGUUGCUUAGGUCUGCUUUGUUGAAGCAUGUCUCUUUCAGAGUUCCUAAACACAAUAUUCCCGUGGCAUCUAAUCCCAGUGAGUGCUCCAAAUCCAGGCUGUGUAUCAGAUGCCACGGGAAAUUCUGCCUCAGGACUGAGGUUGGUUCAAGCAUCUGGAUGAUGUCAAAAGUCCACGUUGCGUGCUGGCCUAACCUGAAAGACCCUAUCUAGUUCUAGCCUUUAAAUUCCUUCUGUCACCAAAUCUAGAGUUACAUGGCAUCUGUACAAGCUAGGUAGCUGAGGCAUGGGAUCAGCUCUAUAAAGGAGCUUUUGGAGCUUUUGUUGUAGGUCUAGCUCCAACUUGGCACUCCAGUUCCAAUAGCUGGACUUUCUCUCAUCGUGUGUUCUGAUCCUUGGAUUGGGAACAAAGUAACCACUCUGAUCUCACAAAGCAGUGGUUCCAGUUCCCAACUGGUGACUAUUUUGCCUCCCAGGGGACAUUUUCGUUUUCACAACUGGAAUACGGUCUUAGAGAGUAGAGGCUAGGGAUGCUGCGAAGCAUGUGGCAGAAUCCUGUUCCGCCCAGAAUGCUAACAGUGCCAAGGUUAUGGAGCCUUCCCACCCGAGGGCUUGGUCUAUUCCUUGCUUUUGCCAGCUCCCUAACCCUUAAACACAACAGUUCAAAUCUAUAUGCAUAAGCAUCUCCUAGGGACCUGCACGUUUCCAAUAUCGACUACUGAGACCCAUCUGUAGAGAUGCAGGCUUAGGAGGUCUAGGAUUGGGCUCAAAAUUUGCAUUUUAACAAGUACUCCAGGUCAUUCUGAAGCAAGUGAUACAAACCACAGAAUGAGGAACACCGCCUUCAAGAGACUGAAUCUUGCUUCCCAACACUAGCUUGGUAUCUGAGACCAUCUGCCUGCUGACUGGCUUUCCUGGCACAAACAUUCUGCAUGUAGGCACAGUGUGUUCCUGGACUCCACGUCAACCCGUUCACCCUCAUGUUCCCUUGGUUCCUGUCCCCAGUCCAGCAAGCAGAACUGAUUAUAGAUCUUGACAACAGAAGAUACAGAUUUAAAAUAACUUGCCUGUUCCCGUGGACUUUAUCCACUAGUGAAGGAGGACAAG